GGGUGCUCGCAUUCGUUGGCAAAGUCGCCUGUUUGUACAUUCUCCAGUUGUAAGGAGGUACAUAAAUCUUGACGUAUAUAUAUCUAUGAACCAAACCCCUUAAAUCAUGUGAUUUGUGUCGAUACAUCAGUGCAAGAAGUUGAAUCUAGGGCCCUUGUCUUGUCCCCUGACUUUUGAAUAACGGGUUCUAUCUCAAAAUUUCUCCCAAGGAAGUGUGUUUGUAUG
rnacentral:misc_RNA from 1 species